UUAUGAAGGUGCUAUCCUUUACUGGCAAAGAAAUGCCGUCUUAGUUGGUAACUUCUAUUAUUACCACUCUACCAUAUGCGGGAAACUCCUAAAGGCUAAGGUAGGCAUGCUUAACAAUCCUUAGUAUGUAACAAUGGACAAUCCGCAGGAAACCCUUAGGGAUUCCUCAGAGACUAGUAUGUAGAGCAUCCUAUUUGAUAUAUGGAUGAAGAUAGAGUCCAAUCAUACUGAAAGGUUAUG
rfam:Rhizophagus irregularis DAOM 181602 strain DAOM 197198 GLOINscaffold_606_Cont610 mitochondrial, whole genome shotgun sequence.